CUCUCGGCAGCCAUGGCGGCUCUAUGUUUGUAUCGCCAUUGUUACCGUUGGGACGCCGCGGAUGACCCUAUAUACCCUUGGCCGGCUACCGGGAAGACUGCGUCUCCUGACGAUCGUAACGAAGAUGUACCGUGCUUUCCUUCUGAGAGUUUAGUCGCCCUAAUAUGUGCAGCAGGCUAACCGCGUGGAAGCUUGCCUGCCAGAAAGAAAGCGCCUGUUGGGCUAUUAGGAAAGUUGGUGACUAAAGUCUGCUUAUGCCAAAUGCCCAGCAAUGUCCAGUUGAGAUCCAGGAGCCAGGAAGAAGGGGGGCUACUUGGCCAACAUGGCUGAUCACGUGCCUGAGGUAUGCCCUCUGACCUCACCAGGGUAACACAGAACCAUCCAUACAGGCCUUGGGCAGCUGGAAAUUUACACUGGUAGCUCUCCCAUGUCCUAAGUUAGGAACUGGAUUUGGAUUGGCUUGGGUUUGACUCUUAUUUCCAAGACUGGUGAGGUAAACACUGGAUGGAGGACCCUCUAAGGCUCAACCUCUCUAUCUAAUUGUAUAUGGCCUUAAGAGAGAUAAUUGAGUUGGGUGGUGAUAACUGGUCACUUGAGUUCAAGGCCAGCCUGGUCUACAAAGCAAGUUCCAGGACAGCCAGGACUGGUACACAAAGAAACCCUGUCUUGAAAAACUAAAAAAAAAAAGGAGAGGGGAAAAAAGGCUGGAUGCUGUGACACAAAUAAACUUGUCAGUUCUUGA